rnacentral:lncRNA from 1 species
GGAAGAGGGACAGACAGGAGCCACGCUCACCCAUUUGUUCUUCCCAGCCCCUGGAAAACACCUUUUUACUUUCUGUUUCUAUGAUUUUGACUACUCUGUGUACCUCAUGUAAGUGGAAUCAUACAGUAAUUUGUCUUUUUUGUGACUGGCUUAUUUCACUUAGCAUAGUGUCUUCAAGGUUUAUGCAUGUUGUAGCCCAUGUCAGAAUUCCCUUUCUUUUUAAGCCUGAAUAAUAUUCCAUUGUUUGUCUCUACCACAGUUUGCUUAUCCAUUUGUCUGUCAAUGGACACUUGGGUUGCUUCCAUGUUUUGGCUACUGUGAAUAAUACUGCUGUGAACAUGGGCGUACAAAUAACUCCUUGAGACCCUGCUUUCAAAUCUCUUGGAUAUAUACUCAGAAGUGGAAUUGCUGGAUCACAUGAUAAUUCUAUGUUUAAUUUUUUGAGAAACUGUCAUACUGUUUUCCAUAGCAGCUGUACCAUUUUACAUUCCCACCAACAGGGCACAAGUGUUCCACUUUCUCCACAUCUUGCCAAUGCUUGUUAUUUCUGUUUUUUUGAUAGUAGCUAUCCUCAUGGGUGUGAAAUGGUGCCUCAUCGUGAUUUUGAUUUGUGUUUCCCUAGUGAUUAAUGACAUUGAGUAUCUUUCCAUUUGCUAAUUGACCAUUCAUAUACCUUUGGAGAAUUGUCUACUCAAGUCCUUUGCCAAUUUUUGAAUUGAGUUGUUUGGGUUUUUUUGUCUUUAUAUAUUUUGGAUACUAAUCCCUUAUCAGAUAUAGAUAUGCAAAUAUUUUCUCCCAUUCUGUGAAUCGCCUUCUCACUUCUCCAGUGAAUGAUCUUGUCACCCUUGUUAAAAAACAUUUGACCAUAUGUACAAAGGUUUAUUUCUGGGAUUUCUAUUCUGUUCCAUUCAUCUCUACAUCUGUCUUUAUUCUAUUACCAUACUGUUUUGAUUACUGUAGCUUUGUAGUAAGUUUUGAAAUCAGGAAGUGUGACUUUUCCAAUUUUGUAUUUCUUUCUCGAGAUUGUUUUGGGUAUUUGGGUCCCUUGACAUUACAUAUGAAUUUUAGAGUGGAUUUUUCUAUUUCUGCAAAAACAGUCAUUGGGAUUUUGAUAAGGAUUGCAUUAAAUCUAUGUACCACUUUGGGUAGUACUGACAUUUAAUAAUACUAAGUCUUCCAAUCCAUGAACAUGGGAUGUCUUUCCAUUUAUUUAUGUCUUCUUUAACUUCUUUUAGCAAUAUUUUGUAGUUUUCUACAAAACUACAAAUGUUUUGUAUGAGUCUUUUAUCUCCUUGGUUAAAUUAAUUUCUAAGUAUUUAUUCUUUUUUGAUGGUAUUGUAAAGGGAAUUGUCUUUGUCAUUUCCUUUUCAGAUUGUUCAUUGUUAGUGUAUAAAAAUGUAACUUAUUUUCAUG